rnacentral:rRNA from 1 species
GUAGGUGGCAAGCGUUGUCCGGAAUUAUUGGGCGUAAAGCGCGCGCAGGCGGUUCUUUAAGUCUGAUGUGAAAGCCCACGGCUCAACCGUGGAGGGUCAUUGGAAACUGGAGAACUUGAGUACAGAAGAGGAAAGCGGAAUUCCACGUGUAGCGGUGAAAUGCGUAGAGAUGUGGAGGAACACCAGUGGCGAAGGCGGCUUUCUGGUCUGUAACUGACGCUGAGGCGCGAAAGCGUGGGGAGCAAACAGGGACUAGAUACCCUGGGAGUCCACGCCGUAAACGAUGAGUGCUAAGUGUUAGGGGGUUUCCGCCCCCUUGGUGCUGCAGCUAACGCAUUAAGCACUCCGCCUGGGGAUACGGCCGCAAGGCUG